CCUACGGGAGGCUGCAGUGAGGAAUAUUGGUCAAUGGGCUUACGCCUGAACCAGCCAAGUCGCGUGAGGGACGACUGCCCUAUGGGUUGUACACCUCUUUUGUUAGGGAGCAACGCCGGCUACGUGUAGCCGGACUGAGAGUACCUGAAGAAAAAGCAUCGGCUAACUCCGUGCCAGCAGCCGCGGUCAUACGGAGGAUGCGAGCGUUAUCCGGAUUUAUUGGGUUUAAAGGGAGCGUAGAUGGGUUGUUAAGUCAGUUGUGAAAGUUUGCGGCUCAACCGUAAAAUUGCAAUGGGUACUGGCAGUCUGGAGUACAGUUGAGGUAGGCGGAAUUCGUGGUGUAGCGGUGAAAUGCUUAGAUAUCACGAAGAACCCCGAUUGCGAAGGCAGCUUACUAAACUGUGACUGACAUUGAUGCUCGAAAGUGUGGGUAUCAAACAGGAUUAGAGACCCGGGUAGUC
rnacentral:rRNA from 1 species